rnacentral:rRNA from 1 species
ACCGCUUUUGGAGUUCGAUUAAGCCAUGCGAGUAGAAAGAAUUAGAUUCUUUGCGAACUGCUCAGUAACACGUGGAUAACCUGCCCUAUGCUCUGGGAUAACCUCGGGAAACUGAGAAUAAUACCGGAUAGAUCACAACGCCUGGAACGGUGUGUGGUUGAAAGAUUACGGCAUAGGGUGGGUCUGCGGCGUAUCAGGUUGUAGGGGGUGUAACGGACCUCCUAGCCAUCGACGCGUACGGGUGUUGGGAGACAUAGCCCGGAGAUGGAUUCUGAGACACGAAUCCAGACCCUACGGGGUGCAGCAGGCGCGAAAACUUCACACUGCAGGAAACUGUGAUGAGGGAACUCCAAGUGCGCGCACUUAGUGUGCGCUUUUGUUGACUAUUAAUCGGUCAAUGAAUAAGGGCUGGGAAAGACCGGUGCCAGCCGCCGCGGUAAUACCGGCAGCUCAAGUGGUCGUCGCUUUUAUUGGGCCUAAAACGUCCGUAGCCUGUUUGGUAAAUCUGUGGGUAAAUCGACCAGCUUAACUGGUUGAAUUCUGCAGAGACUGCCAGACUAGGGACCGAGAGAGGUGUGGGGUACUCUAGGGGUAGGGGUAAAAUCCUGUCGUCCUGAGAGGACCGCCAGUUGCGAAGGCGCCA